rnacentral:lncRNA from 1 species
CGUUUGCAGGAAAGAGAGAACGGGAGUGGAGCAGCAGCCACCAGUGAGGGAAGAGGUGGCAAAGUGCUCCAUGGCUGGGGUGCCUAUCUUGGCAGAGUGGAGCAGAUGGUGAGCCAGACGUUCAGCUGGGCCCGGGUGGGCAUCCGUCAGAGCCAUUAGGCCCCUCGCUGUGGCCUCUCCCAGCCACAGGGGACCCUGGGGAAACUGGGCCUGGGACCAGGCUCACUGGAGGGUGGGUAUGAGGCUCUCACUGAAGAUAGGGGAUUGAGUGGCCAUCACAAACCAAGCUCAGCCGCCUGCCCCUCCUUCUCUUAGCAAUGACACCAGCAGCCCAUAGUCCCCAGGCAGGAGAGCAGAGGAGCCUUCCUUGAAAAACUCAAUGGCCAGAGGAAAAAGACCAGCCUCUCAAAAUGAUAGAUUCCCCAUUGCCUGGUCCUCUACAGAAAGGCCCAUCUGCCGACAAGACCACUGCCACCCUCUGCCACCCUCCACCACCCUCCGCCAGGUCACCAGAAUGCCAGGCCUCACUCAUGAUCAGCUGAGCACCAGCAGGCAGGUGAGAAGAGCCUCCAGUGUGGAGCAGGUCAACCAGCAACAGAGCCAGGGAGACCCAUGGAGUCCAGAGAAAACGGUAACAACGGCAGCAGCACCCAGAGACUGGCUCCCAGUGAGUUAAGCCCAGCCGCGACCCUUGGAUGUGCCAGCUGAUUUAAUACUCAUGAUAAACCCAGUAGAUGUGCAUAUAUCACUUCAAAAAAACAAAAGUGGAUGUGGCUGAUGCCAAAGUGACCUGCCCCAGAAGAGCUGCUAACAGAACAGCAUCCCAGGAGGCUGCAGAAGGCUGAAGAGCAGAGCCCACACCUGCUAUGGGCCACAAGAGGCCCUGGAUGCCAUGGAGGCCGCAAGGGCCCAGGCGGGACUUGCAGAAUGAGAGUCCUAGGCCCAAGUAUAGAGUCCCUGGUGGGCACAGAGGAGAGACCAGGCGCUGCUGCAGCCUCUAGGAAAUCAACCGUGGAAACACACGGACCCUGCCCUCCCGGCGCCAGUGUUCUGGUGGUCAGGAGGUGAAGAAAACCAGCAAGAACCAGCACAGGAAUCCGACGGUGGCAGCGCCGAGAGAAACAAGCUUGGAGGGGAAGGAGAGCUACAGAGGCUGCAUGGAUGUGAUGGUUGGAGUGGAAGCUGACAUUGUGGGCCAGGAGACCCUGGGAGUACAGGCCAAGAUGAAAAGAGCCUCAAUCCAGAGCGUUCUGUGAAGCAGUCACCACGGCCACCCUGGGCCAUCAGCUUCUGGACUUUUACAACAUAGAAAUUAAAUUUCCAUUGAAUUUGUUGGA